CCCGGCGUGGUGUAAUGGUAACACGCUUCGUUGUCAGCGAAAUGUCGAGGGUUCGAUUCCCUUCGUCGGGAC
rnacentral:tRNA from 1 species